rnacentral:tRNA from 1 species
AGCUACGCGGUCUGGUCGGUUCGAGUAUGUGAUAUUGGGCUAGUAUUCCAAAGGUCGUAGGUUCGAUUCCCACCGUGGUCA